GGGGCUGAGAAGAGCGGGCCAAUGGAAACAGUCCAAGGUAGAGAACCCAGAGUGGAACAAGCUGACCUCCAUGUGGCCCUCUCUGCCCAGUGGAGAGCUCAACCAGGACUCAUCAUCUGUUGGCCAACCCUGAGCUGGUGUUGUCUGUUUCCAUGACUACCAUCCCCCCCAGGAGACUCCUGCUCUGAACCCCGUCUCCUCACAGGCUGCUCUGUAGUCCUACAGAAAUAUAAGCCCUAUAGUUACGGAGUAGCCAACCAGAAGUGAGGCUGGUUUCCAGAUCGCACGGUUCUGAGUGCAUUCUACACCUCAUCUCUGGACCAGGAAGUGACUGCAGCCAAUCAGGCCUCCGUGUGUGUACCGCCUGUGUGUCCCCAGAACCACUGCACCAGCAGGUAUACCAGAACCAGUCCAGAACAACUACUGCAGUACACUGUACUUGACACAGUGUUAGGUAUCCAUACCCAUUCUGUUCUGCUGUACAUUCUUAGUGUAUUCUGUGGUUCUAUGCGCUGGUUGUGAGGAUUAUAGGAAGAUUAGAAAGGAGUGGUACAUUUUGGAUACCAACUGUACAUUCUUCU